UCCGCGGUAGCUCAAUGGCAGAGCGCCUCUCUGUUAAAGAGGAUGUUGAAGGUUCGAGUCCCUCCCGCGGAG
rnacentral:tRNA from 1 species